rnacentral:SRP_RNA from 3 species
GCAGACCCCUCGUGUGGCGUCAUCCUCGUGAACCUCCCCAGGGCCGGAAGGCAGCAAGGAUAAGCGGGCUCUGGCGGGUGCGCGAGGGGUCCUUUCG